ACUGGUGUCCAGACAGACUGGUGUCCAUGCUGAUGCCCAGGCUGUAGAGGAAACCAAAGUUAAUCACACAGCUGUAUAGGUUUUAUUUGACUAUUUUGAGACAUAUUGCUGCAGCCAGAGCCUAUAGGCUUAUGUUUACAUUGUAUAGACAAAGCUAAUUGUAUAAUAUUGUGAGGACUGGAUUUUCUACAAUUUCUUAUUUAUGUUAAUGUUAGUAUUCACUUAAGAUUCUAUAGAAAAUAUUAUGUUCAAUAAAUAUUGUUUGUUUAUACCUCAUUCUGUUCUGUAUAGGUCUACUUAUUCUUAGACCGACAGAUGGAGCAAACCGUUUUAAAGGAGGGAGGAUUGUAGUGGGAGCACUGAAGUGUCAGGUGUGACUGUGUGGCAAUGGACAAUGGUUUACAUGUUGUCACGGGUCAGGUAGGAGGGCCCCUUAGCAGAUUGUUUCUUAGGGCCCCAGGGGGGUCAGGACCGGCUCUGAAUAUUCUCCAUAUCCAAUCCUCUCAGAUGAACUCACAUGUUGUCACGGGUCGGGGAGGAGGGCCCCUUAGCAGAUUGUUUCUUAGGGCCCCAGGGGGGUCAGGACCGGCUCUGAAUAUUCUCCAUAUCCAAUCCUCUCAGAUGAACUCACAUGUUGUCACGGGUCAGGGAGGAGGGCCCCUUAGUAGAUUGUUUCUUAGGGCCCCAGGGGGGUCAGGACCGGCUCUGAAUAUUCUCCAUAUCCAAUCCUCUCAGAUGAACUCACAUGUUGUCACGGGUCGGGGAGGAGGGCCCCUUAGCAGAUUGUUUCUUAGGGCCCCAGGGGGGUCAGGACCGGCUCUGAAUAUUCUCCAUAUCCAAUCCUCUCAGAUGAACUCACAUGUUGUCACGGGUCAGGUAGGAGGGCCCCUUAGUAGAUUGUUUCUUAGGGCCCCAGGGGGGUCAGGACCGGCUCUGAAUAUUCUCCAUAUCCAAUCCUCUCAGAUGAACUCACAUGUUGUCACGGGUCGGGGAGGAGGGCCCCUUAGCAGAUUGUUUCUUAGGGCCCCAGGGGGGUCAGGACCGGCUCUGAAUAUUCUCCAUAUCCAAUCCUCUCAGAUGAACUCACAUGUUGUCACGGGUCGGGGAGGAGGGCCCCUUAGCAGAUUGUUUCUUAGGGCCCCGGGGGGGUCAGGUCCGGCUCUGAAUAUUCUCCAUAUCCAAUCCUCUCAGAUGAACUCAUGUGCCAAGGAGUGGAGGCUACACGUUGUUAACAGAUGGAGUCAGCCAACACCAGAACACAUUGUAUUACUUCAG
rnacentral:lncRNA from 1 species